UACGGAGGGUGCGAGCGUUGUUCGGAAUCACUGGGCGUAAAGGGCGUGUAGGCGGUCCGCUAAGUCUGAUGUGAAAGCCCGGGGCUCACCCCCGGAAGGGCAUUGGAAACUGGCGGACUCGAGUCCCGGAGAGGAAGGUGGAAUUCCUGGUGUAGCGGUGAAAUGCGUAGAUAUCAGGAGGAAUACCAGAGGCGAAGGCGGCUACCUGGACAAUUGCUGACGCUCAGGCACGAAAGCGUGGGGAGCAAAAGGG
rnacentral:rRNA from 1 species